rnacentral:lncRNA from 12 species
AUUCAGCCCAUGAGAAUAUGCUUGUUGAUUUUGUUUUUUGGCCUGGGAACAUAUUUAUAGAAGUAUCAGGUGACUCUAUAAGAAGACAGAAUUUAUAUAUAAUAGAAAACAAGAUUCAUAAAUAAGUCACAUCAAUCUUUUUAGAUAUGCGGUGACAAAACGAAGCAGGACUGGAUAGAAUGUUGAGAAAAGUUAAAAGAAGAAACAAGUGAACUAUAAUGGAAAUAAAUAGGAGAGAGAAAGAGAAUGAACAGUUCAGAAAAACAGAAGAUAAAAAAAGGGAGAAAAUCUACCUUCGUAGUCAUCAUGUAGCUCUUUGGGUUUUUCACAGACGAGAGUGGACCCGUUUGGGGCCUGAGAUCAGCAUAAUCUGACAGAGAGGCUGGCAUUGAUUGGAAGCCUGCUCCUGCUGGAUGCUGUCCUGAGCCCUCUCACAGACACAAGUCUGGGAUGCUUACCACAAACCUACGAGUAGAAUUCUUAUCCAUGUUUUACAGGUAAGGACACUGAGGCUUGGGAAGAGGACAUCACUUGCCUGAGGUGACACUGCUGUUAGGCAGCUGAGCUGCAACUCAAAUCUGGGCCCAUCUGACUCUAAUGUUUGUUUUAACCCAGGUGUUAUCCCCUAUUUUCUAGGCAUUUCCAAUUGAUCUGUCUUUCCGACACUGUUAGCGACAAUAUGGUAACUGAUGUGUGUUCUAACGAGCUGAAGGUUCCACAGAGAAUUUCUGGAGUUUAGUUCUCACCACAAAAUAUUAGUGAAGCAAAUGGUAGAAAUUUUCGCCAAACUCAAAUAGGGAUUAUUCUUUUUAUGUAUUUUUCUUGCACAUGGUU